AGAAGAAAAGAAGGAGAACCCCUAGAUUAUCAAUUUCUACAAAUUGAAGGGUGAAUUAGGUCUAAAUCUUAUGCAUCAACUGAGAUUAUUGAUCAUCAAUACGUGAUAAUCAUAAGGUGGGAGCAUGGAAAGGAAAGGGUCAAACGAUCAAAGAUGCAAGAAAUCUUGAAUGGACGCAAGGUUUAUACAAGGGCUGGUACCAGACGGACGAUCAAGCACGUGAAGAACCAAACAUUCUUAAACCGCCACCUCCUUGUGAACAUCUUCUCAAAAAGAUAAAAUAUGAUCAUGCGUGACAAAGUUUUGUGUAUAAAACCUUGUUGUCUUUGACUGUAAUUUAAUUGUGUAAUAACCCGUUAAGUCGGUUCGUAUGGGUUAUCAGUUAACCCAGACAUGUAAGCCUUAGGUUGAAAAAAAAAACUAGGACCUAAUCUUACGAAUAUUCUGUAUAAAAAUUGGGUAGAGUGUUACACAUCUCAUGCCAAGAUUUGAACCCUGAAGAGGCAAGAGCCUCUACCAUCCAGCUAUAACUAUAACUGGAAUGGCUGUUUAAAUCGU